AAAUUGAAGAGUUUGAUCAUGGCUCAGAUUGAACGCUGGCGGCAGGCCUAACACAUGCAAGUCGAACGGUAACAGGAAUCAGCUUGCUGAUUCGCUGACGAGUGGCGGACGGGUGAGUAAUGUCUGGGAAACUGCCUGAUGGAGGGGGAUAACUACUGGAAACGGUAGCUAAUACCGCAUAACGUCGCAAGACCAAAGAGGGGGACCUU
rnacentral:rRNA from 1 species